rnacentral:rRNA from 1 species
AAUAUUGCACAAUGGGGGAAACCCUGAUGCAGCAACGCCGCGUGAGUGAUGACGGCCUUCGGGUUGUAAAGCUCUGUCUUCAGGGACGAUAAUGACGGUACCUGAGGAGGAAGCCACGGCUAACUACGUGCCAGCAGCCGCGGUAAUACGUAGGUGGCGAGCGUUGUCCGGAUUUACUGGGGGUAAAGGGAGCGUAGGCGGAUUUUUAAGUGAGAUGUGAAAUACUCGGGCUUAACCUGGGUGCUGCAUUUCAAACUGGAAGUCUAGAGUGCAGGAGAGGAGAAGGGAAUUCCUAGUGUAGCGGUGAAAUGCGUAGAGAUUAGGAAGAACACCAGUGGCGAAGGCGCUUCUUUGGACUGUAACUGACGCUGAGGCUCGAAAGCGUGGGGAGCAAACAGGAUUAGAUACCCUGGUUGUCCACCCCGUAAACGAUGAAUACUAGGUGUAGGGGUUGUCAUGA